GCUCUAUUUGACUCCGUUUCUUGCCCCCUCGGUCACGAAAAUCCCCCUAUAAAUAGCCCACACCUCCGCACACUUUUCCUCUCAAAUUUUUUUCGAAACCCUAACUUAUAGAGCUCGGAAUCGAUCUCGCCGCCGCCGCCGUUUUGGACUUCGGUAUGAGCUCGAUUCCAUCGAUUUCGACCACCUCUGUUCCUAAUUUUUGUCCCAAGCUCUUGCUACUGCAGUACUCCGUCGCCCUGACAUUUUCCCCCAUCUGUAGAGCACCGGAGUCGCCGUAAUUUCUCGCCGGAGUUCCACCAAAGACCGACGUCUCCAUCCAUACCUCACCGACGUUCCGGGAAGAGGAAGACGACGACCAGGACACUGACGUGAUCGCAUCGAGGAGACGAACACCGUCCACUACUCCGCCACGUCAGGAGAUCGUCGGAAUCGCCGCCACCAUCGACUUCCGGCCGUCACAGCCUCCCGUCGCCGGCCAUCUAUUGUUUUUCCGACUGCGAGGAGUGCAACGUCUGCGAUUGCAACGAGUGCGUGAACGAUUUCAACAACCAAGGCAAGUGGUGUUCAUAAAAGUCCUAUUGUUUUCCUAUGCAUUGUAGAUUGUUUUAUGUAGUUGCAUGUAUAGGAAAAUUGUUUUUCCGCCUUGCUUUGCUCCUAUGUUGUGUUCAGUUGUGUCACUCCUUUGUCGCCAUCGUUGUAGAAUUGCUUAGCUAGCUCAGUAAAUGGGGUGGGAGUUCAUCAUCAAAUUUAUUGAGUUGUAGCUAUAUUUUUCUAUAAUUGAAAACAACUUUAAUUAAUGAAUUGCCUAGGCGGAUUGGCAUUGAUUGGGUCAUCGAGUGUUCGUCAUGGUGGGGAUUGCCGCCUAGGGUAUAAGAGAAAUAGAUUGGUGACUUGUUUAAAUGCUUACGUGUGUUACCGUAUGUCUGUUGAUAUGGGCUAUGACUGAGCUUAGUAGGUUGUGGUAGUUCAAAUCCAUCGUGGCCAGAAAUGUAGAAUAGUGUAGGUUGGUACGUCACGUGGGUGGUUUGUUCUACUACUUCUCCAAAAGCUUCGGCUUGGACUUCUUCCAACCUUUACACAAAAUGCGUGUACUGGUAAACGUGGGCUGUCUGGGUCAUACGGGUAAAGAACACAAACCUCUCGAGAGUGUAAAAUCUGAUUACUUAGCCGUGUCCCCGGUUACGGACAAUUUGAGCAAUUAGACUUGGAGCUAUGACAAUUUCUCACUCAUCCCAAUUUCAUAAUUACUAAAAUUUGUGGUUGAAUAAUUGGGUAGGAGCACCUGAUGUCUAUCAGCGUGUCCAUGUUCUGGUUUUGAAAAUAAAAUUGUUUAUAAAAUGAUAGGAUAAAACUAUCGCUUUAUGCAAAUUUGCCUUGAACUCUACCUUGCCAAAUAAGCACCCUUGCCAAUACAAUUCCAAAAUGUAUUGACCACUCGAGGUGGCUGUAACCUUUUAUGUUGCAUGUUAUUAUUCUGAGUGAUCGAUUAGGUUGCGAGUCUCCACUCAACUCUGUUCGCCUGUGGCACAUUGAAGGAUGGAGCCUCUUUUUACCGUUAUUUGCUUCCGUUGUUUUGAUACUCUAUUUGAGCUAGCUUUAUGCUAUGCAAAGUUGUAAUAAAUGAAUAUUCUGGAUCAUUCGUUAA